AAUUUUUUAUUAUUCCCAAACUAAUCUUGAUUUUCUUUUCUUCACGCACGUUAUCCUCUCUUCUUUCUUACUUAUUUGUUUCUCUCCAAACCUUACAGUAAGUUUCUUUCUUCUCCUUUCCACAUAAGUCUUCUUCUUCUUUCAAUCGGUUAGUCGAAAUCGAUAGUUCUAGGAUUAUUUCUAAGGUCCAACAAACUAAAACAUGUGGAAAUCCUUACAGCAAGAAUUUGUGGUUCUGUCUUGUGCAACUCUUCUCACAAAUUCGACAAUCAAGUUAAAGGACAGUUUACCACAUGGAAAGUUUGGUAGAUUUUCUUCAUCAUCUAUUAUUUUUAGGUGUUUUUACUGAAUUAUAGAGUUGUUUACAAUAGAGAAAACAAUACAAAAUAAGAAGAUUUGCUAAUUUGACCACGAGUUGGUCAUCAGAUAGUCCUAUAGUAAAUGCUGCAAUAACUUGGUUCUUGUCUAAAGUAUUAAUACCACUAAAAACGGUAUUUCUCAAAUCACUCUUCAAUUCAUCUUGGAUAUUUGAGGUUGUGGAUUGAGGGAAUUAUAAAAUAAAAUUCUCUCAGUCCAAAUUUCUCCAGAUUGAAAAUCAAAGUCUCAUCGAUGGAUUUAUUAGAUAAUCAUCUAAUGAGGUGAGCUAUAGUUGUCCAAGAUACUUUUUUAUUUAAUAUCAAGAAGAUGUCCAGGAUAUCAAAUAUAUUAAGUAUAACAGUGAAAUAUAUUAAGUGCAUCAAUGGGAUAUCAAGUAUAUCAGUGAAGAAUGCUAAGUGUAUCAACAUUAUAUCAAGUGUAUCAAACAUAAACGUAUAAAGUGUAUCAGUGAAGUAUAUCAACUGUAUCAACAGGAUAUCAAGUGUAUUAAAUGCAUCGAGUGUAUCACUGAAGCAUAACAAGUGUAUCAGCAUCACAUCAAGUGUAUCAAACAUAAUAAACGAAUCAAUUGGAUUAAGUGUAUCAGUAUAGUACUUACCUUAUUAUUCGAUAGUGGAUUAUUUUAAACUUUCACGUCUUUCGAAGUUUAUCUUCCUCUUUGUUAUUUUUCUUUUUCAAUAUUUCCCUCGUUUUGUCUAUAUGCAAAAAAAAAAAAAAAAAAAAAAA